GUGGGGAAUAUUGGACAAUGGGCGCAAGCCUGAUCCAGCCAUGCCGCGUGAGUGAUGAAGGCCUUAGGGUUGUAAAGCUCUUUUGUCCGGGAAGAUAAUGACUGUACCGGAAGAAUAAGCCACGGCUAACUUCGUGCCAGCAGCCGCGGUAAUACGAAGGGGGCUAGCGUUGCUCGGAAUCACUGGGCGUAAAGGGCGCGUAGGCGGACUCUUAAGUCGGGGGUGAAAGCCCAGGGCUCAACCCUGGAAUAGCCUUCGAUACUGAGAGUCUUGAGUUCGGAAGAGGUUGGUGGAAUUGCGAGUGUAGAGGUGAAAUUCGUAGAUAUUCGCAAGAACACCAGUGGCGAAGGCGGCCAACUGGUCCGAUACUGACGCUGAGGCGCGAAAGCGUGGGGAGCAAACAGGAUUAGAAACCCUUGUAGUCC
rnacentral:rRNA from 1 species